rnacentral:rRNA from 1 species
AAGCGUUGUUCGGAUUUAUUGGGCGUAAAGCGCGUGUAGGCGGUUUUAUAAGUCUGAUGUGAAAGCCCCGGGCUCAACCUGGGAAGUGCAUUGGAUACUGUAAGACUUGAAUACGGGAGAGGGUAGUGGAAUUCCUAGUGUAGGAGUGAAAUCCGUAGAUAUUAGGAGGAACACCGGUGGCGAAGGCGGCUGCCUGGACCGAUAUUGACGCUGAGACGCGAAAGCGUGGGUAGCAAACAGGAUUAGAUACCCUGGUAGUCCACGCCGUAAACGAUGAGAACUAGGUGUUGCGGGUAUUGACCCCUGCAGUGCC